rnacentral:misc_RNA from 1 species
GAUGAAGAACACAGCGAAAUGCGAUACGUAAUGUGAAUUGCAGAAUUCAGUGAAUCAUCGAGUCUUUGAACGCACAUUGCGCCCUCUGGUAUUCCGGAGGGCAUGCCUGUCCGAGCGUCAUUGCUGCCCUCAAGCACGGCUUGUGUGUUGGGCUCCGUCCCCCGAUCCCGGGGGACGGGCCCGAAAGGCAGCGGCGGCACCGCGUCCGGUCCUCGAGCGUAUGGGGCUUUGUCACCCGCUCUGUAGGCCCGGCCGGCGCUUGCCGAUCAACCAAAUUUUUAUCCAGGUUGACCUCGGAUCAGGUAGGGAUACCCGCUGAACUUAAGCAUAUCAAUAAGCGGAGGA